UGGUAUCCGGAAUAACAUCUCGAAAGGGGUGCUAAUACCGGAUAAGCCUACGGAGCCUUCGGUCUCUGCAGGAAAAGGUGGCCUCUAUUUAUAAGCUACCGUAUCAGGAUGGGUCCGCGUACCAUUAGCUAGUUGGUGGGGUAAUGGCCCACCAAGGCGACGAUGGUUAGCUGGUCUGAGAGGAUGAUCAGCCACACUGGAACUGAGACACGGUCCAGACUCCUACGGGAGGCAGCAGUGGGGAAUUUUGCGCAAUGGGGGAAACCCUGACGCAGCAACGCCGCGUGAGUGAUGAAGGCUUUCGGGUCGU
rnacentral:rRNA from 1 species